AGGAAGGAGACUAAUAAUAAACACAGAUGAGGAUGCAGUAGUUUAUCAGGGAUGGAGAGUGGAGCAGAAGUAGCAGAGUUGUUUGAAGUUUUACAGCUUCGGCUUUGAUUUGGUGGAUUACAAUGUUGGACUUGAUGGUCGGCAUAAACUGGAGUGUGACUGGAUCGCGAUGGCAAUGCAGGUAGAUGACGAUGAAAUGGACUUCGACGACUGGACACCGGCAGGUAGAGGAAGAGAAAGCUCCAUUUCCUUGUUGGUGUUCUCCUGGUCUCCAGUGGUGUGUUUCUUUGUUUCCUCCAUCUGCUUGGAGAACUCUACUCAGGAUUCCCUCCUUGAAUCUCUCCACCGCUCCUCUUGGAACCAUAUACCUGGAUUUUCCAUCACUCACCUGCCUGUCUACCCUCCAAGCUUCACCACUCCAACCUGGAAAUAGGACAAAGACGCAAUCACUAGCAAACCCACUCACCAAACUCCUGCAUCCUGCAUACCGAGGAUAUAGUCACCUCUUCCUGGAUGGAUCGCCAUCUUCUCCAUGUGCCAUGCCGUCCCAGACAGCAGCCAUUUACCUGGAUGAAUCAUCUCACUGCACACAUUUGUCAAUAAACCUUUCAAACUAUC